AUGAGACUUUAAGCUACUUUUCAUUUAUGGUUGUUUAAUCAAGAGACCAUAUUUGGUCCAAGGUGGCUUUCGGUCUUGGGUUGAAGAGGGCCUACGCGUUAAGGAGUUGAAACCUGAGACUGCAUUGACAAUCCUAAAUGAGAAUUUCAGUUACCUCGGUAGUGGGCUCCAGCAUAUAGUGAUCUUCCUCUUGGUCAUCGCCACAGAAAACAUGCCUCUCCAUCCCUGCAGUUCACUUUGAUGGGUCCAAGGCUAUAUGUCAACACUGUAAAGGUUGACUCUGGAAAUAGGCCAGUAACUGAAAUUCGUUAUACUUGGAAGGUAAAAGGAGUGAUCACCUGGCUAUCCUUCUUCAACAUCUAUCAGCACUUCCUUAAAGUAUCCAACUAACAGAUGAUCUUAGCUAUGAGCCUGUGGAUGAACCAGUUGAACGAGGGUAUUUAGAACCUAUCAAAUGGAGCAUAUUUUCACAUGUUUGCACUGCUCCAGUAGAAUACCUCAGGGCACGAAUAGAUGACUCUGCUUCUAUUGUGACCAAGUACUAGUUUGAGUUAAAGGUUAUUGGAAUGAAGAAGGUCCUCUUCCUGAGGUUGAGAUUCUUGAUGGUCGCUUAUAAUGUUCCAAAUAGGUCUCUUGUAAUGCCAUUUUAGUCUAUCUCGCCUUCUCCAGAAUAAUCCUCUCGAUGUGAACUCAAAAUAUGCUUAAGGUGUCCAAAAUGAAGAAAGUGAUGAAGAUAUUUAUUACAUUUUGCUUUUGGGUUUAAAUUACUAGCUUGUUGCAUAUUUUGAAUUAUGAGAUUAUUAAUGAAUGAUUUUGUUUUGUGAUGUGUAUAUACUGUGUUAUAAUUUAUUAUGUAUGUAAAUAAAAAUUUACAUUAAUACGAGUGACUAUUUAUAUAAAU